rnacentral:lncRNA from 1 species
CAUCUGAUUUCACUGCCUCUGCCUUUGGUCAACUGUCAAAGAAUUGAGCCUGAGACUCGGAUUGGAAGUGAAGUCCACACCUGUUCGUCCCCGUCAGAAAGUGCAGUGCCACGUAAGUCAUUCAUCUUCCCCUCUAAAUACACAUCAAGAGUAAAUGAGCUCCAAAAGAUUAUCAAGCAACCGCAGCAAUUCAUCAAAAUGCUCCCCUCCAAAAUGUGUAAAAUACCUAAAUCUCACAUGAAAACGCUAAAAGCAACGCGACAGAGAACCACUAAUCUUGCUUGCUAUGAUAAACAAGUGGGAAAAAAUAUGCUAGGGUCGGAGAGAAACAAAAAGCAUGUGCAGACUAACUUGCACCUGGACCCUACCAGAUUUUCACAUUGGAUUACCACUUUGUGCCGUUUCCAUAAUCCAUUCAAAAUAUAGCAUCGAGACGCCAUUUAAUCGAGAGAACAGAAAAGAGAAAACAGUUUCAAUCGCCAUUCUCUAAAAAGGAUCAGCCG